UUACUUAUCUGACAGAGAUGAUACUGCGAUCAUGAAGGUGAUUCAUCCAAAGUGAGGUUCUCCUCUCGCACACUGGCUAUUCUGACCUUUGUGAAUUCUCCAAACGCGGGACUGUCAACUGCACAAUUUAUGUUGGUGGGGAAAUGCGUGCGUGCUCUCCCCCC